rnacentral:rRNA from 1 species
UACAGAGGGUGCAAGCGUUGUUCGGAAUUACUGGGCGUAAAGCGCGUGUAGGUGGCGAUGUAAGUCGGGUGUGAAAUCCCUUGGCUCAACCAAGGAAGUGCACUCGAUACUGUGUCGCUUGAGUACUGGAGGGGAUGGCGGAAUUCCCGGUGUAGAGGUGAAAUUCGUAGAUAUCGGGAGGAACACCAGUGGCGAAGGCGGCGACCUGGGCCAAUACUGACGCUGAGGUGCGAAAGCGUGGGGAGCAAACAGG